UACGAAGGGGGCUAGCGUUGUUCGGAAUUACUGGGCGUAAAGCGAACGUAGGCGGUGUUCCAUGUCAGAGGUGAAAGCCUGGGGCUCAACUCCAGAAUUGCCUUUGAAACGGGGACGCUUGAGUCCGAGAGAGGGUGGCGGAAUUCCUAGUGUAGAGGUGAAAUUCGUAGAUAUUAGGAAGAACACCAGUGGCGAAGGCGGCCACCUGGCUCGGUACUGACGCUCAGGUUCGAAAGCGUGGGAGCAAACAGG
rnacentral:rRNA from 1 species